rnacentral:rRNA from 1 species
UGGCGAACGGGUGAGUAACGCGUGAGGAACCUGCCUCAAAGAGGGGGACAACAGUUGGAAAGACUGCUAAUACCGCAUAAGCCCACGGGUCGGCAUCGACCUGAGGGAAAAGGAGCAAUCCGCUUUGAGAUGGCCUCGCGUCCGAUUAGCUAGUUGGUGAGGUAACGGCCCACCAAGGCGACGAUCGGUAGCCGGACUGAGAGGUUGAACGGCCACAUUGGGACUGAGACACGGCCCAG